UAUUUCUUUUAUGACCUUCUCGCAGUAAUUCAAGUCAAAUUAUAAAAAUAAAUGUUUGUUUACCUCCGCUAGGUUUGCGCAUGUCAUUUAACAUGCGUGCGCAGCGCUUAAACUCAAAUGAGAGAAUCGUGUAUUGUUUUAUUAGAGAAUUUUGUUGUAUUUGAAUUUAUAAUCAAAUUAAAAAUAGUAUAUAGAACAUAACAUAUAUAUUCUUUGAAAAAUGUAUUUUUAUGAACAUAUUAUUCAACUUGUUUUGAGCAGCUGCCGUGCAAAUGAAUAAGUGCCUUAAAGUAAAUGUUGGAAUUAUUGGAAUGAUUAUAACUCUGAAGGCUGAAAUCUAAAGUUGAUAAUUACAUCUUUGAAGCAUCAUUUUCAAACAUUUUAAUGCGAAAUAACAAAAUCAUUUGCUUAAAUUUGUUAGCUAUUAUCUAUUAAGUUUAUGCAAAGAAGUUGUGAAGAUAUCAUUUUAAAGCAUAAGCAGAUAUAUUUACAAAUUAGAACUCGUAAUGGUCGAAUAUUAAGAUGAAGUCGUAAUAAAGGAAUCAAAAAAGAUCGAAUCAAGAGACAAGAUGGUUGUAAAAAGUAAUCACACUAGCUGUUGUUUAGUGAGCACAGAUGGCUGCUUCAUAUAUAACAAAUAGUAGAAGAGUUAAAAAGCAAGCUGAUAAAAAAAAUUUAUGUUGAAAGUUGUGAUCAGAAAAUUAAUUUGUAAUCCAGCAAUGUUUCUAAUGAUUGUUAAAGUAUUUGUUAUGAUGACAAUGUAUAUGAAAGUAAUAAUGACAAUGCAAGAGAAAAUUUUCCUGUUCGAGAUAUGAUCUUAAAAAAAUGUAGUGAUUUGUCUCCAUGUUUAUGCAGUAGUUAUGGCAUUGGCUAAAAGCACAUCAAACAAAAGAUGCAAGUUCUGAGCUUUUUAUCAAAUCGUAUAAUGCGUAGCGUUCGAACAUCAAUGUUCCUCUCAAGCAAAUUAAAGACUCAAGAUUCGUAUAGAAGCUAAGCAGUCGAAAAAAAUACUUUAAUUUUUUUAAUAUGUGUAUUAUUUGUACGAAUAUUUCAACGUUAUUACAAUGGUUAUUACAACAAGUUUAA